rnacentral:tRNA from 2 species
GGGAGUUUAGCUCAGCUGGGAGAGCAUCUGCCUUACAAGCAGAGGGUCGGCGGUUCGAUUCCGUCUCGCGCCA